rnacentral:misc_RNA from 1 species
CUAUUUUGUAAUGGAUUGGAUAUGGGGGGUUGCUGGCUUUGAUAAAAAAGUCUGCUCUCCUUAAAUGUAUUAGCUGGUACUAGAUCAUCUAUUAGUGUGAUAAUUAUCUACGCUAUUGGAAUAUCUACUAUGUACUGCUUCAAACUAUUUUUAUAUGACAAUUUGACCUCAAAUCAGGUAGGACUACCCGCUGAACUUAA